rnacentral:rRNA from 1 species
UACGUAUGUCACGAGCGUUAUCCGGAUUUAUUGGGCGUAAAGCGCGUCUAGGUGGUUAUGUAAGUCUGAUGUGAAAAUGCAGGGCUCAACUCUGUAUUGCGUUGGAAACUGUGUAACUAGAGUACUGGAGAGGUAAGCGGAACUACAAGUGUAGAGGUGAAAUUCGUAGAUAUUUGUAGGAAUGCCGAUGGGGAAGCCAGCUUACUGGACAGAUACUGACGCUGAAGCGCGAAAGCGUGGGUAGCAAACAGG